AGCGAACGCUGGCGGCAGGCCUAACACAUGCAAGUCGAACGAACUCUUCGGAGUUAGUGGCGGACGGGUGAGUAACACGUGGGAACGUGCCUUUAGGUUCGGAAUAACUCAGGGAAACUUGUGCUAAUACCGAAUGUGCCCUUCGGGGGAAAGAUUUAUCGCCUUUAGAGCGGCCCGCGUCUGAUUAGCUCGUUGGUGAGGUAAAGGCUCACAAAGGCGACGAUCAGUAGCUGGUCUGAGAGGAUGAUCAGCCACAUUGGGACUGAGACCCGGCCCAAACUCCUACGGGAGGAAGCAGGGGGGAAUCUGGCGCAAUGGGCGAAAGCCUGACGCAGCCAGGCCGCGUGAAUGAGGAAGGUCUUAGGAUUGUAAAAUUCUUUCACCGGGGACGAUAAUGACGGUACCCGGAGAAGAAGCCCCGGCUAACUGCGG
rnacentral:rRNA from 1 species